rnacentral:lncRNA from 1 species
UUAAAGCUUAUGUAUCACUUAGUUGCAGUCUUCUGCGAAGAACAGACAUCAAUAUGAAGAUUAUUCUAGUACUUGCACUCCUUCUUAUCGGAAUCAUCAUGGUGGAGUCCCGGGCCUCUGUGAGAUGUACCACAGAGUUUUAUCCCGUUUGUGGCACCAAUGGCAAAUCAUACUCCAACCGUUGUCUGUUGAGUGCAGCGGGGGUCAAAAUGGCGCACGCGGGCGAAUGCAAACAGCUUAGAAUACUUGACAGUUUGAUGUAAAUUCUUUAUCGUUAUAAGUUAUUUUAGUUAAAAUAUAAAACAAAUAUUGAUCAACGUA